AUGCCAACCACCGCGACGGGGAAUGCGGAACUGCGGCGGCUGGGCCGACGCCUCCCCUCGCCCCUCUCUCUCCGGCGGCUCCCACCGCACCGGAGGCGGCGGCGCGCCAGGACUAGUGGGCCAAGCGGAGGCCUUUCCAGCACCAGGCCCAAUGCUGCUAGGGGCUUCUUAAGUCAUGCCUUGGGCGUACCGGACAGGCCCAGGCCCAGGCCCAAUGCUGCGAACUCGAGGUUGCCUACCGCCUCCUUUCAAAGGCGAAAGCUCGCGGGCGUCAUAUAUACAGCCUCCGCCUCACCGUCCUCUUCCUCGCCCUCUUCUUCACCCUUCCCGGAGCGAGAAGCUUGCGCGGGCAUCAUAUACAGCCCCCUUCCUCGGUGUGCUGAACCCUUCCUGGAGUGGAGAAAGACCAGGAAACAGAAAAUGGCUUGGAUGUCUGACCAGCCUUGCCGCUCCUACAUCAUUGAUGGAUCUUGCAAGUAUGGUUCAGACUGUUUGUUCUCUCAUGGACUUGACUUAUUUGGGAGGAUAGAGAUGCAAAUCAGGGCACUUCUGCAUGUGCCGGAUGUAUAUCAAGUUCCAGUAGAGCACUUGCCAUGGAGUCGCCCUGAGUUGGGCAUAAUGCUUCGGCAAGUGGGAUGGGAUGGGACUCUUGGUCACCUAAUGAGUUUGCUCGAGCGUCUUCAUACUAUUUGUGUGGUUUAUAACAGCUAUGGAUAUUAUGCAAUCCUGUUGGAGAAUGUUUCACACUACCUGGGUUACUUACCUUACAAUCCAAAUGUGAUGGAUGCUGAUAGUGAAGCUCACCAGAUUUAUAUUAACUUCUCUGCUCAAAGUAUAGAAAUAUGCACUGAAGAAAAUGUUCGUAUCUAUUUCAGCCAUUAUGGGGAAGUCUUGUCUGUAUAUAUUCCGCAUGAAAUGGCAUAUGGUUUUGUGAGAUUCCGGUACCCUGAGACAGUGAGGCUGCUUUUAUCAAACUGGAAUCCUCAGGUCCCUCACUUCAUCUUCGGAGCAGGGCUUUACGUGGGCCCCUAUAUCUCCUACAAUCGGAGGUACCCUGCUGUGAAUCAUGGGCUGAAUGAUCCGGAUGGAGGGCUAGAACAUAUGCCAAAUGCCGCGGGUGGAGUGGCAGGACAAGUGCCAGGUGUGCCGGAUGGAAACGCGGCACAACAAGAUAUGAACCCUGCUGGGAAUCAUGGGCCGAAUGUCCCGGAUGCAGGGCCUGGACAUGUGCCAAAUGCCCUGGGUGUACUGCCGGAUGAAGUGCUAGGUGUGCCGGUGGGAGACGCAGCACAACCAGAUAUGAACCCUGCUGGGAAUGGAGUGGCAGGACAAGUGCCAGUUGUUCCGGAUGGAGGCGCAGCACAAGAAGAUAUGGACGAGAUUGCUGCCGCUCUUCCAGAUGUCGACUGUUUCUACCAGGCAACCUGA
rnacentral:rRNA from 1 species